rnacentral:lncRNA from 10 species
GACCCAGCAGGAAGGCGCCAUCAUGAGAAAGGGGGCUCUCACAGGACACCAACUCUUGAUCUUGGACUUCUCAUCCUCCAGAACUGUGAGAAAUAAGUUUCUAUUAUUUAUAAGCCACCCAGUUUAUGGUGUUUAUAAAGAGCUGAGACAAACACCACUAAAUCUUGCCCUUAUAAUCCUGUUGAUAAUUACGCAAGAGUAAAUUUUGUUCUGGUCUCAACCAAAUGAUUAAAACUCCGAAUCAGUGGAAUCUGAACUCUGAGCCCUGCUUACAUCCUGCUGGCUGGGAUGGGGAAUGAGGCUGGGGUGAGCAGACACUUAGAAUAUGAGGACAAGAGAGGAGCAGCUGCUCUACCAGCCCUGCACUGCCCACCCAGAAUGCCACCAGGGAGAGAACUCAGCUUCUCUGUUGCUGAAGCCACAGACAUCUUGGGUCUCUGUUCUGUACAACUGAACUGCAUCCUGAUUGAUUUGGGAAUGAUGCCUAUUACCA